rnacentral:rRNA from 1 species
CUACGGGGGGCUCCAGUGGGGAAUAUUGCACAAUGGGCGCAAGCCUGAUGCAGCCAUGCCGCGUGUAUGAAGAAGGCCUUCGGGUUGUAAAGUACUUUCAGCGGGGAGGAAGGGAGUAAAGUUAAUACCUUUGCUCAUUGACGUUACCCGCAGAAGAAGCACCGGCUAACGCCGUGCCAGCAGCCGCGGUAAUACGGAGGGUGCAAGCGUUAAUCGGAAUUACUGGGCGUAAAGCGCACGCAGGCGGUUUGUUAAGUCAGAUGUGAAAUCCCCGGGCUCAACCUGGGAACUGCAUCUGAUACUGGCAAGCUUGAGUCUCGUAGAGGGGGGUAGAAUUCCAGGUGUAGCGGUGAAAUGCAUAGAGAUCUGGAGGAAUACCGGUGGCGAAGGCGGCCCCCUGGACGAAGACUGACGCUCAGGUGCGAAAGCGUGGGGAGCAAACAGGAUUAGAUACCCUAGUAGUC